rnacentral:rRNA from 1 species
AUCCUGGCUCAGAUUGAACGCUGGCGGCAUGCUUUACACAUGCAAGUCGAACGGUAACAGGGUGCUUGCACCGCUGACGAGUGGCGAACGGGUGAGUAAUAUAUCGGAACGUACCUAGUAAUGGGGGAUAACUAUCCGAAAGGAUAGCUAAUACCGCAUACGCCCUGAGGGGGAAAGAGGGGGAUCGCAAGACCUCUCGUUAUUAGAGCGGCCGAUAUCAGAUUAGCUAGUUGGUGAGGUAAAGGCUCACCAAGGCCACGAUCUGUAGCGGGUCUUAGAGGACGAUCCGCCACACUGGAACUGAGACACGGUCCAGACUCCUACGGGAGGCAGCAGUGGGGAAUCUUGGACAAUGGGCGCAAGCCUGAUCCAGCAAUGCCGCGUGCGUGAAGAAGGCCUUCGGGUUGUAAAGCGCUUUUGUUCGGGAGGAAAUCCUAGGGGCUAAUACCUCUUGGGGAUGACAGUACCGGAAGAAUAAGAC